rnacentral:tRNA from 1 species
GUGGCCCGUAGCUCAAUUGGCAGAGCAGCCGGCGGUAAUUCGGCGCGUCUCGGUUCGAGUCCGGGCGGGCUACC